AUUGAACGCUAGCGGGAUGCCUUACACAUGCAAGUCGAACGGCUUGGCGAACGGGUGCGUAAUGUAACGGAACGUGACCAGUCGCGGGGGAUGGCUAUGCGAACGCGUAGCUAAUGCCGCUUACUAUUGGAGCGGCAGAUACCGGAUUGGCAUUAUGGUGGUGUAACGGUACACCAAGGCGACGGUCAGUAGCUGGUUUGAGAGGAAGACCAGCACCACUGGGACGGAGACACGGCCCAGACUCCUACGGGAGGCAGCAGUGGGGAAUUUUGGACAAUGGGGGAAACCCUGAUCCAGCCAUCCCGCGUGUACGAUGAAGGCCUUCGGGGUGUAAAGUACUUUUGGCAGGAAAGCGGUACCCGCAGAAGAAGCACCGGCUAACUACGUGCCAGCCGCCGCGGUAAUAC
rnacentral:rRNA from 1 species